AUGGUAAGUGUUGUGAUGGAGUCUUCGAGUAGAGAUCCUACUAGUUGUAUUAGAAGAGGCAGGAAAACUGCUCGUGAGCAAGACUCUGAUGAGGAGCAACAAAGGAAGAGAAUCCGGGAGAUUCUUGAGGAACCCACAAGCAGUGGUACAUUUGAGGGAUGGCACAGAAAAGAUACAGAUGGAUCCUGGGGAGUUAUGGGUUUGGAUAGAAGGUGGACUUGCUGGAGAGAUCGUAGAGGGGCAGCAGCUGGAAAUGGAGUGUUGGGCGGCUCCAGCUAUGAUGAGGAUUUGCAGCACCAAGGUUCAGCUGUGGAUGGGGCGUUACAAGGAGGACUUGUAAAUAAAAGUAAGUUUGUUGCUAAUGUGGCCUUGCAAUCGGCAAGGUGUUUGUUGGGUGCUUUUGGGAUCUCUGUUUCAGAAGACGUGUUUGGAAGACUGCUUUGGGACCUGUCAGCUUGCCUCCGUUGCUUUGGCUCUUUGUGUUUACCUUGGACUGGAAUUCAGUGACUGUGACUUCUCACUGACGACUUGGACUGGAAUUCGGUAACUGUGACUUCUCCCUGGUGACUUGGACUGGAACUUGAUGACCGUGACUUCUCCCUGAUGACUUGGACUGGAACUCGAUGCCUGUGACUUCUUCCUAGCGAUGCGGACCGGAUGUGGCAGCUGUGACUUCUCCUUUACAACGUGGUUUAGCUUUAACUACAUUUUGGGGCAUUGUGUGGCCAUUGGUCACUGUGGGUAAUUGCUGGUAGCUUUCCUGUGUUUGUUUAGCUCCAACCAGCAGGUGGAGCAAGUUCCCAGGCUUUUCAACUAAAUUUGUUUUAAUCUGGAUUAUUUCCCAGGAUAAUCCAGAUUAUAUCCUGAGUUUGGGUUUUUCGAGUUCUUUUUGGACAUUGUUACUUCACACUGAAGAGAAAAUGUUUUGAGCCCUUUUUUGGUUGCUUCUUAGGCUCUUUUGUGUUGUUUUUUGCAAUAAACUGAGUUAUUUAUAUUGGCUGUCGUCUAACUCAUAACAGUAAUAGUACAUAAACACUUUUGUGAAGCAAUGAGGAUAAUAGAGUUGCCACCAGUUCUUACCAAGGCAAAAACUUAAAUUAUAAGGUUGCUGUUCAGCCAAAAGUGUCUAAGGAUUAUUAUAUUUUUUAAAGGGGAAUUGAAUGAAAUGUUAGGGAGUCAAUGGUAUUAUCACCCAUAUACUAAUUUAAAAAUAGGAAACAGUGAGAGAUCCAAAGACACUGGUG
rnacentral:lncRNA from 1 species